rnacentral:rRNA from 1 species
UUACGGCCAUAUCACGUUGAAAUACUGAUUCUCCUACGAUCACCGAAGUUAAGCAACAUCGAGCCUGGUCAGUACCUAGAUGGGUGACCGCUUGGAAAUGCCAGAUGCUGUAAG